rnacentral:rRNA from 1 species
CAGUGCCGCGGUAAUACGAAGGGGGCUAGCGUUGCUCGGAAUUACUGGGCGUAAAGGGCGCGUAGGCGGACAGUUUAGUCAGAGGUGAAAGCCCAGGGCUCAACCUUGGAACUGCCUUUGAUACUGGCUGUCUUGAGUUCGGGAGAGGUGUGUGGAACGCCGGGUGUAGAGGUGAAAUUCGUAGAUAUUCGGCAGAACACCAGUGGUGAAGGCGACACACUGGCCCGAUACUGACGCUGAGGCGCGAAAGCGUGGGGAGCAAACAGGAUUAGAUACCCCCGUAGUCCCUGUCUCUUAUACC